CUUCCACCCUCGGCGAGGGGACUGGAUCCAGAGGGCAUCCCCCCGGCCCCCCUACCUCUGGCCAGUGGACCCCAAAGACUUAGCCCGGAAACACCAAGGCUGAAGGAGAGAGAAACCUUCCGGUAAGGGAGACACCCUGACGUCCAACAUGGUUGAGGUGUGAUGGAACGCCAAGAGACUUCUUCCUCAAUUUGCUCUGCAGUCUGGAAAAUGCACCUCAAAGAGAGCACAGAAUACCCUCCUAUGAGUCAGCAACACGGUCAUAUGAUUCGGUCAGAAUAUCUAUGACUAAUGCAGCCCGGAGACCUCAGCUCCUGCUGAAAGGGAGAACCGUGCAUUGGGCAUUUCUACCUCUUCCGAAGAAGCCUACAUCUCCCAGGACCUUUAGAUCCUCGCACAAUUUUCUAUUAAUCCAUCAGCAGCGGUAUCAACGCUUGCCUUCGCGAUGAGCCUGUCAGGAGGAGACCAGAAUCUAUCCCACAAACCUGGAUUUUUGGCAGAGGUUCUGGGCAAUGAAAGGAACGCUGCAGUCAGAAUCCUAAAUUCCUGAAGCGGAAGUCAGGCACCGCGCAUUGGGCAUUUCUACCUCUUCAGAAGAAGCCUACAUCUCCCAGGACCUUUAGAUCCUCACAGAAUUUUCUAUUAGUCCAUCAGUGGCGGUAUCGACGCUUGCC